UUAGUGGUUUGUCUCGAGAUAUUGGAGGCCACCAAAUUGAACCAAGCCAUGCUCGCGAGCGUGAACAAGUGGAUUUUCUGCAUAUAAGAUUGUUUAGGUAUAAGAAGUUCAAGAGUGAGCGUACGCAACUGAACAUUUUUCAUUUGUAGGAUGAAGGAAUGAUUAGAAAUAUCAUGUUCUUGAAGUAGAAAAUAUAACGUAUAAUAGAGAUAAAUAGUAAAGAAGGGUAUGUAUGUUUGGUUCAAUACGUCUAAAAUGCAUAUGAACACCAUAAUCAUUUGUUGCUUUGGUUCGAGAAAAUGAUAGACAUAAGGGUAGGAUUACAUUGAUUGGCUUUGGGAAAGCUUGUUCAAGGAGAAAGACUCGGUUAAGAAGAAGUAUAGUAAAUUGUUUGACUAAAUGGAUGAGAAGACAUCAUGCGAGCUUAGCUCAGACAUUAUGUUCAUGUAAUCGUUUCCUCUUUUGCUUUCUAGGUUUUUUUUGUGCUCACUGUUACCUGAUAUCCAUCCUAGUUUAUACAAUACUUUUAUAGUUUUAUUAGAAGUUGAGUUCUUUAUCUAAAAAUGUUUAUCUUUUUUAAAAGAUAUAAUGAAUGUCUGUCAUGAGGACCUAGGGACAACCCACGAGUCGCAAAAUUAGUUAUCAUGUAAUCACAAUCUAAAUGCAGUUGACAAGCAGCCAUGUUGCGUCGUGGUGGGGCACAAGUGUAAACGCUUCUCGCGUGAAUGCUGCUAUGCUUGCAAUUUGUAACACUCAAACAUUCUCUUAAUGAAACACGUGUCAAUGGACACAUUCUUGAAAAAAAAACAAUGAAUGUCGUGUCAAGAAAAAAAUAAAACCUGUGAGGCAAACUUCCAUAGAAACGAAUUAAGGUGCCAAAUAUAAGAGGGCCAUGGAACACACUAUGUAGUCAGACACCUUAUUGAAUGAGCUACAAUGUCGGCAUUGCCCAUCACACCACACACAUAUCACCAGUAAUCCAUCUCUCUCUUAAUCACCCUAUAAUCAAUUCAUUAACAACCAGUCCUUAUGGUCUGAUGCAGAUCCAUCCAUCAACCUGUCCCUAUCUUUUUUGGUAGAUUAAUUAGAAAACUCUAGUCUAGCACACUUACCAUGCAUGAUCCUUGAUCCACGACUUGCCAAUUAACCACUAGCACUAGAUCACCUGCUGCAGUACAUUAUUUAACUUUAUCAUGACUGUCGUUGUAUAAAUCACCAUACCACUAGUAUGCUUUUAUUUCCUUCAGAUUCAGAUGAACUAUAUAUUGUCAAUCUGAGAGAGAUAGGGAGGUUGGUGAUCUAGUUACAUGCAGCAUGUUACAUGGUCACUUUCUUUUGGUAAUUGGCUCCCUUUUGGAUGAAUGGACAUAUAUAUAAACUAUCUUGAGCUAAUUUUACCAUAUAUCGAUCUGUUAUCUAUAAAGAGUAAACUAAUAAUGUUCGGUAGAGAUUCAAGCGAUGUGAUGCUGGGAUUAUACAUGCUUUCACGGCGGCAGCGGCGGCAGCGGCGCGGCGAGCAGGAUGCGCACCAGCGUGUCCUCGAACUGGUCUAGCAGCCCCGGGUGCUCGGCCAGCUCGUUGGGCCCGUAGGCGCGCCGUGGCCUUGGCGGAGGAGAGGCCCCGGGAGAUGGAAACCCCAGCUGCGCCCAUCGCCGUCGGAGACGACGGAAGGCGCGUGGAGUCGUUUGGGCGGUUAGUCAGUGUGCGGUGCAUGCAUCAAUAAAAGACCGGCGGUGCCAAGGUAUGCAGCAAGCCGUCGCCCGUCAAUAGCAUCUAUCUGACGCUCCUUGCGUGCUCCACCCAUGCAUGUUCUUAUCAUCGUUUUCUAAAUUUCACCGUAGCUCUUUUCGGGUGCCCUUUUUUUUCAAGUCUUAGCGGGCUAUUCGACUGAUGGUUUUUAUAACUAAUAAGCCAUAGCUGAUUGAUGUUGUUUUGUUGUAAAAGAAAAACAUUGUAUCAUGACUGAUAAGCCUUUUAUCGUGAGAGAAAAACAUUAUACUCUUCUCUUUGUAUAUAAUGCCUUUUGUUUCUAUUGUUUUUUUAAUAAAUUUCAGUAGGGGCCUCUUGUUCUUUUUUUUUAAAAAAAAAAGGUCGCUGUGUAGAAACAUUUACUAGUCUUCCUGGAUCUGCACGUGUUGCAAGAGCAGAACCAAAUGUUGGACGCAAGGCUCCUAGGAAGAAAAGUAUCACCUCUAGCUAAGAUGAAUAAGUAUCACUGGUAGGUUUCUCAUGCAAGUAGACUUGGUAUCUGCAUGACACUUUUGUACGGAUAAAGCAUGUAGAGGUGUUGCGUAGGCUGGGGAGCAAGAGCUCAUCAGAUAAGAAACUAAUGAACUCUUCUGGAAACUGUAGUUGGAACUAGGAUGAAAUGCAUGACAGUGCUCACUAACUGAUCAUAGCAAUGUCAUGAUAAAUGGCACAACUACUACAUGUUUUAAUGCAGAGUACCAAGGCUGAAUAUAUAAUGUAUAUAUUUGCAGGGGAAUAUGAUUGCAAUAUAAAUAUUAGGCAAACUGUUUCUAGUUCAGUAGCUAUGCAUCCAUGACAUUGUUCAAGUAUCUAUUGUAUCCAAGCUUGGUGGUUUAUCCUGAGACAUUGGAGGCCACCAAAUUUAAGUGUUUUGUCGCGAGAGUGAACAAGUGGAGAUCAGUUGCCCAAUGUUUAGCCACGGAUGGAGUGACGAUUUAUGUACAAAAGAUCAAGUCCAUGUUCAUAUUUGAUCCAGUGCAAGAAAAGAUUGAAGAGAACUGUGACUAGGAGUAAGAUCUAGAGGGAGCGGUUUGGGAAUGGUCGGAUGCCGAGUAUGAGGUUCCAUGCACAACAAAUUUAGGUUUCUGUAGCAAUUAUGCCAACCUCUUGAGUGGGUUACCAAAGAAGCCAGAGUUAGGGAAGGAAGCUUAGAAAAAAAUAGGUGGUUCGGAGUUGGGUGGAGAAGAUGUUCUAGAUUCUAUAACGUGGUGAACGACUAUAAUUCGAAGACAAUCCUGUGCAUGUCAUCAAGUUAGACUUGGUCAGACUAAUCGUGGUGUUCAUAGAAAGCCAAUGUUUUCGACAUAUCAAUCAACUAGUCGCCAAUGUUUUCCACAUAUCAAUCAACGUCUACGAAUACUGUGUGACAAA